AUGGUUAAGCUAAUAAGAGCACACGGAGGAUGCCUAGGCGCCAGGAGCCGACGAAGGACGUGGCGAACAACGAAACUGCCUCGGGGAGCUGUAAGCAAGCUUUGAUCCGGGGGUGUCCGAAUGGGGAAACCCAGCUGUGGUAAUUCGCAGUUACUCAUACCUGAAUACAUAGGGUAUGUAGAGGCAGACCAGGGGAACUGAAACAUCUAAGUACCCUGAGGAAGAGAAAACAAUAGUGAUUCCGUCAGUAGCGGCGAGCGAACGCGGAACAGCCUAAACCAAGAGGCUUGCCUCUUGGGGU
rnacentral:rRNA from 1 species